AGGAAAGAAGAACCCUCAUCGGAGGCAAAUAUGAUCAAGAAAGUUCGUAGACCUCUCCAGGUAAACUAAUCCCCACAUUCGCAAAGGUUUUUGUCCCACGGCGCUGGCUGACUGAAUUGGGUGUCUCGUCGACAUACAGCCAUGUUCAAUGUACGUUCCAGCCUUGGAGGACAGAACGUCUGAGACCUGUGUAAUGAACGUGGCAUGAAGAAAAAAGAUGGACACAUUUGGGCGAUUACUAAUCAUUUUCCCGGCCAGUUUUAUUGCCAGCAUAUCAGCCCAGCAAAAUCCACUCAAAAUUCAUGAAGGCUGGUGGGCAUACAAGCAAGUGGUACAGGGAAGCUUUGUUCCAGUGCCAUCUUUCUGGGGUUUGGUAAACUCAGCUUGGAACUUGUGCUCAGUGGGGAAGAGACAAUCACCAGUCAACAUUGAGACCAGCCACAUGAUCUUUGACCCUUAUCUUACGUCAAUGAAACUGAACACAGGUGGACAAAAGAUGAGGGGGACAAUGUAUAACACAGGUCGCCAUGUUUCUGUGCGAUUGGACAAGGAGCAUCUGGUUAAUAUCUCUGGUGGGCCCAUGAUGUACAGCCAUCGUCUGGAGGAGAUUCGGCUUCACUUUGGUAGCGAAGACAAUCAGGGUUCUGAACAUCUGCUGAAUGGACAGGCUUUCUCUGGAGAGAUUGGGGAGCACCUACUGGGAGCUAAUUUAGAUCCUGAAGAUUGGAAACUUUGCCACUGCAUUAAGGUUCAGCUGAUUCACUAUAAUCAUGAGUUGUAUAUGAAUUAUACUGAAGCUGCCAAAAGCCCUAAUGGACUCGUCAUCGUGUCCAUAUUCAUGAAAGUGGCUGAAACAUCUAACAGCUUCCUGAAUCGAUUGCUAAACAGAGAGAGCAUCACAAGAGUAACAUAUAAAAAUGAUGCUUAUCUUCUGACAGGACUAAGUAUAGAGGAGAUCUAUCCAGACACAAGUAGUUUUAUCACUUAUGAUGGCUCAAUGACCAUCCCUCCAUGUUUUGAGACUGCUACGUGGAUACUGAUGAACAAGCCAGUGUACGUCACACGCAUGCAGAUGCACUCUUUGCGCCUACUCAGCCAAAACCAGCCAUCUCAAAUCUUCCUGAGCAUGAGUGAUAAUGUGCGUCCGAUUCAGCCACUGAUCAACCGCUGCAUCCGGACCAAUAUCAACUUCAGCAUGCAGGGGAAAGAUUGCCCAAACAACAGAAAUCAUAAGCUUCAGUACAGAGUUACAGGUCAUGCAUUGAGAAGUGGGGAUCAACCAGGCUGGCAUCUUGAUAAUUGGCAACCCAAAAUCACUCUUCUUUCCGGCAAACCCUUGACCCGAGGGCACUGCUGCAGAGCUGGAGUCAGAUCAUCCAGUUGACUUCCGAGAGCUGCUCCUGGCUGAUGAGGUGCUGCAACAUAUGGCUACGGCAAGGAACUGCAAUCAAACACUUUGUGAAUGGGUGGUUGCUCAAUUAGGAUCGUUCUGAGGAGAAAAAUGUUGUUGCUGAAGGACAACGCUGACAGUUGUGAAACCAGUCAUCUCAUUCAACAUGUUUUAAAAGAAUUUUCUCUCAACAAAUAUACAUGUAUGUAUUGUUUGUAACUAAAAUGAAACUUUGUAAAGCAUGCAGAGUGGCUCUGCUUUUUACAUUAAAAACAUUCUAUGUAUGACUUGUAUUUUGCGUACAUGUAGUAAACCUACAUCUGGCAAAAAAUGUUGAUACUUUUUUUAAUUCAGAAAGUGACAAACUAAAGAAACAGAUGACACAAACCACUUGUUUGAUAACUUUCUGAUUAUAGAACUUGGGU